CUAACACCUCUCAUUCUUCAUAAUUUAUCUUUUUCAUUCUCUCUCCAAAUUACAUUCGUCUCCUCAUCUCCUUCAUCGUUUCCUUCUUCUGGUGUGUUUAUGCUUCUUCUGAUUCUUCUGCUUCUUCUCAAAUUCUGCUUUUUUUUCUUAUUCUAAUUUUAGGGUUUAUGCUAGGAAGCAAGAUGCAGAAUAAUGCCAGGAAGAUCACUAUUAACGAUUCUAAGCUUGAGAUUCAGCUUUUGCAAACAUCUGUGUUGGGGCAAGGCAUUUCCGGCGAAGACUUAGGGUUGGUAUUAGGUUUGUUCUGUGGGUGUGGAACCGCUUUCAAGGAGAAGAAAAUUUCACCAUCACUCUUGCUUACAAAGGUUUCAUGGAGAAAGUAAGAAAACAACUCUCCGGCUUGUAGAUAUUUAUUCUUCGUAUCUCACUGUAGAUUUCUUAUGGAGACUACCUCAGGAAGUAGAGAAAGCUGGAAGUCCUGCUCCCUCAAAUGUAGAUCGAUAUGCAGAAGGUCUUUUUAGGAGAAUUGCAUCAAAUGUCUCAUCUUACAUAGGAUUGGUGGCAGACACGCUCAGGAACUCUAUUCCAAAGGUUGUUGUUUAUUGUCAGGUCAGACAAGCAAAACAGAAAUUGCUUAACCAUUUCUACGUACAAAUUGGGAAGAAGGAGAUUCGACAAAAGCCGCAAAACAGAAAAGCACAUCUGUAGCAUUUGGAAAAAGGGGUGUCAAUGUUGAUGCAAGAAAAACAAAAUUGGGAGAAGAAGCAUUUGGAAAAUGAGAUUGCAAUUUGUCAUUAUAGUUUGCAAUAUCAGAUGUGCAGAAUCAAAUUGCCAGCACAGUCUGUACUCAUUUUACAUCAUUUAACCAAUUUUGAUCAAUUAUGAUAAUCUUGGAAAUUGUCAUUAUAGCCACCCUAUUUCAACAAACAGCUAGAUUCCUUAUCUAUAUGGCUACCUAAAUCGUACUAAUUCAAAUAUUUUAAAUAUCUUUCCAGUAAAAUUGUCAACUAUGGAACAUUUUGUUAUGAGAUUUGAGGCUAAGAGUAUUUAUUUUAAUCAAAUGAACCUAUGAUGUACUGUAAUUGUAAAGGUCACUUUUACUCUAUCCUGCAUAAUGUCUUGUCAUAAUGAAUACUUAUAGCCAUCAGCUCUCUAGCUUUAUGUAAGUGGUAAGUGUUCCUUGGUACCUAUACCUGGAUUUUUGCAACUACCAAUCUCAGUCAGUUCAAAUCAAAUUGGUCUUUGUAGACUUUCUGAUUAUGCACUUAAAAAUUAGAUGGACAAAAUCAACUAAUACAUGAUGCACUUAAAAAUUAGAUGGACAAAAUCAACUAAUACAACUGGAAACAGUGCUUUCG